AGAAAAUACAAGGGUAAGAAGAGGAAUCAUGUGGAAGAAGAGUAAACAUCUGAUGGUGUCCUGGGUAGCUGAAACUGUGGAAAGCAAAACCGUGGAUAAGGGGGAACUACUAUACUGAAAAUGUACAAAACAGAGAAGAUUUCAUUGAAGAAGUCUGCUGUUUCUGGAAUGGGAAAUUAAGAUAAAAAUUGAAGCUCUCAUCUUCUAUAACAUCAUUGGUUCUUUUGAAGCACAACUGGAACAGUUAUCGACUGUGAUUCUUGCUGGGACCAAUAACCUUCUACAAAUACCAACAUCAGUUUUUAUGAAAGGCAAAGAGCUGACAGGUUUACAGACUGCACCCUAACAUUAAGCUACCAGGAGAAACUUCCAAGUUACCCUCUUGUUACUUGUGCCCCAGAGGUGAACACUAUAAACUGCUACAGCAUGCAAUUUAGGGAGAGGUUCGUGAAGAAGUGAUUGGGAAAGAGAGCAAGUCUUGGUUGGACAGUGUGAUUCAAUAGAAAUGUGAGGAGGAAAACUGCAAUUAUUUCUGAACCUUCCCAUCAGCCUUGUCUCUGAUAGAAUUGGCCUGUUGUGGACGGGCUUUGUGUAGAUUAGAGAAAGAAGAAGAUGCUCUUUUGGUGUAAUUGUUCAGUUCCACAUGGCCGGGGAGGCCUCACGAUCAUGGCAGAAGGCAAGGAGGAGCAAGUCACAUCUUAUGUGGAUGGCAGCAGGCAAAGAGAGAGCGAGCUUGUGCAAGGAGACUCCCAUUUUUAAAACCAUCAGAUCUCGUGAGACUUAUUCACUAUCAGGAGAACAGCAAGCUAAAUCAGUGUGAGACCAAGGACCCUGGGGCUCCUCCAGUCAUUGCAGCUGUAUCACAACUACCCUGACAGAUUUCUUGCUCAGGGCAAGCCACCUGCCAUGUCUUGAGAACACUCAAGCAGCACAUGGCGAGGAAUGGAGAUGGACAGACAUGGGCCAGCAAGAAACAGGCUUGCCAACAACAGCUUGCGUGAUCCUGAAAGCCCCGUUGACUGGAGGAUGGCCAUUUGACAACACAUUAUUUCCUGAGGAAACUUUUGACUUCUGGUGACUUGGGCCCCAGGCUGGCUGAAUUUGCCAAGACCCGGCUUUGCCCUUGCAUGUGUGAAAAAUGGCCUCAAGUAUGACCCCAUGGCAAGAUGGAAAGAAACUGUGCUCUUGAAUAGCUUAGAGAUUCAGAGCCCCCCAACCAGCUUGAAACGCCCACCUCAAAACAAUGACAUGAGAAGAAACAAACCUCUAAUUUAAGCCACUGUCUUUUUAAGAGCAUUGUAGUUUGAGAUCUCUUUCUUUCAGCUGUUUAGUCCCCAGCUAAACACUUACUGACCUUAUCUUACAGGUCAAGAAAAAUGAAGUUCUGGGGUACAAGUCACUAAUGUAUUAGAAAUUUUCCAGCUCUCCCUCCUUGCCCAGCAGAGUAUAUUUCCACUCAAACACAAUGAACCCAUUUGGAAUGGGACAAAACAAAAUGGGGUGGGCCUGGAACAAGAGAAAGUUCAGCUACACAGGAUCCAGGUCAAAACUCUUUAAUCCUCCCAUUUCUGGAUUUCAAAUGAACACCUUUUUGUCUAGCAGUUCUCCUCCAGAGGUUUGCUUUCCCACAACAGCUUGUCAACAGUGUAAGAAGUUCAAAAAGAACUUUUGGGGUUGCACGUUGCAGGUUGUGUGGCAUCAUCCCAGCUUGUCUCAACACCUCUGAUGAACAGUAGCGGAAGAAAGGACUCUUUCCACAUGAGUUCCUCGGCGGUCCCCGUCUCUUAGGGAGUUUAUAAAAAAAUCCAUCAUCUUGUUCUACUAAACCCAAGUAAAUAUAAUUAACACCAAA
ensembl:lncRNA LINC02889 long intergenic non-protein coding RNA 2889